rnacentral:rRNA from 1 species
UUUCCCUCAGGAUAGCUGGCACUCGCUUGAGCGAGUCUCAUCUGGUAAAGCGAAUGAUUAGAGGCCUUGGGGCCGAAACGACCUCAACCUAUUCUCAAACUUUAAAUGGGUGAGAUCUCUGGCUUGCUUGAACGUUGAAGCCACGAGAUCAUUUUGACUAUGGAUCAGAGUGCCAAGUGGGCCAAUUUUGGUAAGCAGAACUGGCGCUGUGGGA